ACGCGGCUGGCUCAGUCUGUGGAGCUUGUGACUUCUGAUCUCCGGGUGGUGGGUUCGAGUCCCAUGUUGGGUG
rnacentral:tRNA from 1 species